GGCUUAGUGGUUACGAUGGCUUAGUGGUUAGAUCGUCUGCCUCCGAUUCGUGAGGUCGUGGGUUCGAUGCCCGGUUGAGUCA